rnacentral:rRNA from 1 species
UGCCCCAUAGUCUGGGAUACCACUUGGAAACAGGUGCUAAUACCGGAUAAGAAAGCGGAUCGCAUGAUCAGCUUUUAAAAGGCGGCGUAAGCUGUCGCUAUGGGAUGGCCCCGCGGUGCAUUAGCUAGUUGGUAAGGUAAAGGCUUACCAAGGCGAUGAUGCAUAGCCGAGUUGAGAGACUGAUCGGCCGCAUUGGGACUGAGACACGGCCCAAACUCCUACGGGAGGCAGCAGGC